GACGAACGCUGGCGGCGUGCCUAAUACAUGCAAGUGGAACGCAUUGAUAUCACCGGAGCUUGCUCCACCGAUAUAAAUGAGUCGCGAACGGGUGAGUAACGCGUAGGUAACCUGCCUGAUAGCGGGGGAUAACUAUUGGAAACGAUAGCUAAUACCGCAUGAGAGUGUUUAACACAUGUUAGAGACUUAAAAGAUACAAUUGUAUCACUAUCAGAUGGACCUGCGUUGUAUUAGCUAGUUGGUAGGGUAGCGGCCUACCAAGGCAACGAUACAUAGCCGACCUGAGAGGGUGAUCGGCCACACUGGGACUGAGACACGGCCCAGACUCCUACGGGAGGCAGCAGUAGGGAAUCUUCGGCAAUGGACGAAAGUCUGACCGAGCAACGCCGCGUGAGUGAAGAAGGUUUUCGGAUCGUAAAGCUCUGUUGUAGCGGAAGAACGCGUGUAAGAGUGGA
rnacentral:rRNA from 1 species